AAACAGGAAGUGCUGGGCCGGCCCCUCCCGUCAGUGGUGACUGAAGCGUCAGUCUGAGGAAAAUCAGCCCCACUCCUCACUGUGAGCUGUUCGGUGCAGAUUCAGUCGGUUUCAGAUCUCCCUGCAGCGACGUCAGCGAUGUCGACAUAAUUCUUUCUCCUCGUUUUCGUCAAGCGGCCCCUGAUGCUCGGUAGACUCCAUGUUGGAGUGCGAUGAAGGAGAGCUGAGCAGAAUCUGCUGCAGCAAAGCAAACCCAAACCUGCAGACUUCCUCCUCCG